rnacentral:other from 1 species
ACAAUCCUGAUGUGUACGUCCUUUAUUUAGUUUUGACCGAACACUUUUUGAUACGGGAGCCCGACGGAGUCUUCGCGCUGCGAACAUGCCUCGCAAGUUUUGAGGAAGUUCAGAGAGCGUGAAGCUGGGCACCCACCUGCUGCGUGCGGGAUCAAAACCAACAGGACGGCACGAUCGGGAUUGUU